GUGCCAGCCGCCGCGGUAAUACAGAGGGUGCGAGCGUUGUCCGGAAUCACUGGGCGUAAAGGGCGCGUAGGCGGCCGGGUAAGUAGGGGGUGAAAUCCCACAGCUCAACUGUGGGGCUGCCUUCUAGACUGCUUGGCUUGAGCACGGUAGAGGCUGGUGGAAUUCCCGGUGUAGCGGUGGAAUGCGUAGAGAUCGGGAAGAACAUCGGUGGCGAAGGCGGCCAGCUGGGCCGUUGCUGACGCUGAGGCGCGAAAGCGUGGGGAGCAAACAGGAUUAGAAACCCCUGUAGUCC
rnacentral:rRNA from 1 species